rnacentral:rRNA from 1 species
UACGUAGGAGGCAAGCGUUGUCCGGAAUUACUGGGCGUAAAGCGCGUGUAGGUGGUGGGACAAGUCUGCUGUGAAAGCGCCUGGCUUAACCGGGCGAGGUCGGCGGAAACUGUCCGACUCGAGGACGGUAGAGGGGGGUGGAAUUCCCGGUGUAGUGGUGAAAUGCGUAGAGAUCGGGAGGAACACCUGUGGCGAAGGCGGGUCUCUGGGCCGUAACUGACGCUGAGGAGCGAAAGCAUGGGGAGCGAACGAGGAUUGAUAAACCCCUGGGUAAGUCCC